AAAACUAUCGCUAGAAGCCCUCAGCCAACCCGAGAAGAAAAGUGAUGGUAUGGAGAAUGUGGUGGCAAAUCACCGUUCAUCACUUAAACUGCAAAACCUUCCUGUGCCAUCUUCAGGAUCGGUUGCACUGCAAUCUGGCAACAGUUACAAGCAAGGACUUCAUCAGAGUCAAGAUAGUAAAUUGAUAGAUGACAACACAGGAGUGAGAUCAAAGAGGCUGCGUCAAUUCGAAAACAAGCAGUCAUUGGCUUCUUUAAACACAUCCCAAAUAUUUGAUGAAAACAACGAUAAAAAGUUCAUUACCCCUCAACUGCCGCCCUCAGUGUCCCAUUCCGAUGCGUUAUCGGAGCCUUUGUCAGCGGCACCAGCUCUUGACAGCAUCAACUCACAACCACAUAAAGAUUUGAUUGAUGGAAUGGGAAAUGGCUCCGUUGGUAUAAGUUGCAAGAAGC
rnacentral:lncRNA from 1 species